rnacentral:rRNA from 1 species
AAGCGUGGACGCCAGUCUGCGUGGAGCCGACCUUGAAAUACCACCCUUUAAUGGCUGGUGUUCUAACGUAGACCCGUUACCCGGGUUGCGGACAGUGUCUGGUGGGUAGUUUGACUGGGGCGGUCUCCUCCCAAAGAGUAACGGAGGAGCACGAAGGUUAGCUAAUCCUGGUCGGACAUCAGGAGGUUAGUGCAAUGGCAUAAGCUAGCUUGACUGCGAGAGUGACGGCUCGAGCAGGUGCGAAAGCAGGUCAUAGUGAUCCGGUGGUUCUGAAUGGAAGGGCCAUCGCUCAACGGAUAAAAGGUACUCCGGGGAUAACAGGCUGAUACCGCCCAAGAGUUCAUAUCGACGGCGGUGUUUGGCACCUCGAUGUCGGCUCAUCACAUCCUGGGGCUGAAGUAGGUCCCAAGGGUAUGGCUGUUCGCCAUUUAAAGUGGUACGCGAGCUGGGUUUAGAACGUCGUGAGACAGUUCGGUCCCUAUCUGCCGUGGGCGCUGGAGAAUUGAGGGGGGCUGCUCCUAGUACGAGAGGACCGGAGUGGACGCAUCACUGGUGUUCGGGUUGUCAUGCCAAUGGCACUGCCCGGUAGCUAAAUGCGGAAGAGAUAAGUGCUGAAAGCAUCUAAGCACGAAACUUGCCCCGAGAUGAGUUCUCCCUGAGACUUUAAGUCUCCUGAAGGAACGUUGAAGACGACGACGUUGAUAGGUCGGGUGUGUAAGCGCAGCGAUGCGUUGAGCUAACCGAUACUAAUGAACCGUGAGGCUUAACCUUACAACGCCGAAG